UACGAAGGGGGCUAGCGUUGCUCGGAAUUACUGGGCGUAAAGGGCGCGUAGGCGGGUCGUUUAGUUAGAGGUGAAAGCCCAGGGCUCAACCCUGGAAUUGCCUUUAAUACUGGCGGCCUUGAGUAUGGCAGAGGUGUGUGGAACUCCGAGUGUAGAGGUGAAAUUCGUAGAUAUCGGGAGGAACACCAGUGGCGAAGGCGGCGACCUGGGCCAAUAUUGACGCUGAGGCGCGAAAGCCAGGGGAGCGAACGGG
rnacentral:rRNA from 1 species